rnacentral:rRNA from 1 species
GAGUUUGAUUCUGGCUCAGGAUGAACGCUGGCGGCGUGCUUAACACAUGCAAGUCGAACGGGCGAAUUAUAUCGGAGGUCUUCGGGCCGAAGAGAUAAUAAGCUAGUGGCGGACGGGUGCGUAACGUGUGGGUAAUCUGCCUUUGUCAUAGGAAUAACUGCUUGAAAAAGUAGCUAAUACCAAAUAACAUAUCGUAUAGGCAUCUAUAAGAUAUCAAAGAGAAAUCGGACAAAGAUGAGCCCGCAUCUGAUUAGCUGGUUGGUAGGGUAAAAGCCUACCAAGGCGACGAUCAGUAGCCGGCCUGAGAGGGUGAACGGCCACAUUGGAACUGAGACACGGUCCAAACUCCUACGGGAGGCAGCAGUGGGGAAUAUUGCACAAUGGGGGGAACCCUGAUGCAGCAACGCCGCGUGAGUGAAGAAGGCUUUCGAGUCGUAAAACUCUGUUGUAAGGGAAGAUAAUGACGNACCUAAAGAGCC